rnacentral:rRNA from 1 species
CCUACGGGUGGCUGCAGUGAGGAAUAUUGGUCAAUGGGCGCGAGCCUGAACCAGCCAAGUAGCGUGAAGGAUGACUGCCCUACGGGUUGUAAACUUCUUUUAUAAAGGAAUAAAGUGAGGCACGUGUGCCUGUUUGGAUGAACUUUAUGAUUAAGGAUCGGCUAACUCCGUGCCAGAAGCCGCGGUAAUACGGAGGAUCCGAGCGUUAUCCGGAUUUAUUGGGUUUAAAGGGAGCGUAGAUGGGUUGUUAAGUCAGUUGGGAAAGUUCGCGGCUCAACCGUAAAAUUGCAAUUGAUACUGGCAGCCUUGAGUACAGUUGAGGUAGGCGGAAUUCGUGGUGUAGCGGUGAAAUGCUUAGAUAUCACGAAGAACUCCGAUUGCGAAGGCAGCUUACUAAUCUGCCACUGACAUUGAUGCUCGAAAGUGUGGGUAUCAAACAGGAUUAGAUACCCUAGUAGUC